rnacentral:rRNA from 1 species
AUGAUAGUGCUAAAGAUUGAUUUUCAAAAAGCUUUUGAUAGUGUCAGCUGGGAGGCCCUGAAAAAAAUCCUCGCGGCAAGGGGUUUCGGGGAGAGAUGGAUCAAGUGGGUGGAUGAUAUUCUGACAACUAGCUCCUCUAGAAUCUUUGUCAAUGGAAGCCCAGGCGAACAGAUCCUAUCCAAGUGUGGGCUACGACAGGGAGACGCCCUGUCCCCGUACCUUUUUAUUCUGGUAGCGGAUGUUCUCCAACAGCUCUGUAAAAGGGAGCAUCACCAGGGGAACCUUGUGCACCCCUUGGAAGUAGACGGGCCUUUUCCCAUUCUGCAAUACGCAGAUGACACGAUGAUCUUGUUAAGAGGAGACACCCAACAAGCGGCAGUUAUCAAGCAGAUUCUAGAUGACUUCAGCAACUUCUCUGGUCUGAAAAUAAACUAUCACAAGAGCACCUUUGUUCCCAUUGGUAUAGACCAGCAAACUUCCCAAGAUAUCGCUUCUGUGCUCAACUGCCAGAUUGCAGCCUUCCCUUGCACUUACCUGGGGUUACCACUUUCCCUUGGCAAGAUACACCAUGGUUUGUUGAUACCCGUGAUCCAAAAGGUGGACAAGCGAUUGUCUGGUUGGUUUGCAACCUUCCUGUCCUGGGGAAGGCGCCUCACCUUGAUCAAUGCUGUUCUCGCGGCGAUCCCCAGCUACUACAUGGGCUGCUUCUUAUGGCCAAGUCGGUCUUUGGAGAAAGUAGACCAAAUUUUGAGGGGCUUUCUUUAG